AUGAUGAGGACGCUAAGUACUUCAGAGAACAUAUACGUUGAAGACUUGAUUAAAGAAAGAGAAGAAGAUGGUAAUUUGGCAGUGCAUGAAGCUGGUAAUCAUGCACCACAAGGAAACCAAGCCCCUGAAUUAUAUACAGAUGGGAACUUCAUUAGAGAAAUAGAACAAGAUGGGAAUUUUACAGCGCAUGACGCCCAUGGCACUGAUUUACCUUCGGAUGACAAUGAGGAUAACCCAGAUGACGAAUUUGGUGACAAUGAGGUCAAUGCAAAACAAUCCAGAAAAUUUGUUAGUGCUAGGGAGUACUACUGCUUCAAGCUGCAAGUCAGGAGGAAGCUUUUUAACAUCAUCUUGUUCGGUCAUCGCCUUUUCCAACAGUGGGCUGUUGACAUGUAUAUCAAGAUUGAAACUAUGCGGCUUGAUUGGUACUCAAAGCCGGAAAAUCAAAAGGUUAUACGCGCUGACCUCUACCAGGGUCUUGUUGACACCGUCGUUGUCGGCGAGUCACGCGGAGAUCGAAUUGGCAAAAGAAUUGUGCUUCCA
rnacentral:rRNA from 1 species